rnacentral:rRNA from 1 species
UGGGGAAUUUUGGACAAUGGGCGCAAGCCUGAUCCAGCCAUGCCGCGUGCGGGAAGAAGGCCUUCGGGUUGUAAACCGCUUUUAGCCGGAAAGAAAAGGGCAGGGCGAAUACCCCUGUCUCUUGACGGUACCGGCGGAAUAAGCACCGGCUAACUACGUGCCAGCAGCCGCGGUAAUACGUAGGGUGCGAGCGUUAAUCGGAAUUACUGGGCGUAAAGCGUGCGUAGGCGGUCCGUUGUGUCCGAUGUGAAAGCCCCGGGCUUAACCUGGGAAUGGCAUGGGAAACUGGCGGGCUGGAGUGUGGCAGAGGGGGGUGGAAUUCCGCGUGUAGCAGUGAAAUGCGUAGAGAUGCGGAGGAACACCGAUGGCGAAGGCAGCCCCCUGGGCCAACACUGACGCUCAGGCACGAAAGCGUGGGGAGCAAACAGG